ACUGCAGACAGUUGAGGAUCUUCAAGGAUUCGACACACGUUUGCAAAAUGACGGGUCCUUCAGGACUAAAGUGAUAAGUAAACUGUCGCUGGCUGGAGGGAGGACAGUGAAGGAGACAGUGUGGAGGGUAUGUGCCAAGGUCAUCCACCAAAACCUGGCCACCCAGCUUAAUUGGUGUGGCAGGGGAGAAAAGACGGGCCUCCAAUCGACGCCCACCCACCACGCUCUUCUCAGCGCAGUGUUGGCCAACCCAGUGGGGAGCGGCACAGAGGCCGAGGUGGAGACCGCCUUGAAGAAUUGGUUGCGGCUCAGCGCAGACCGCAAUGGUGGACGGAA